UACGUAGGGUGCGAGCGUUAAUCGGAAUUACUGGGCGUAAAGCGUGCGCAGGCGGUUCGUCGUGUCCGAUGUGAAAGCCCCGGGCUCAACCUGGGAAUGGCAUUGGAAACUGGCGGGCUUGAGUGUGGCAGAGGGGGGUGGAAUUCCGCGUGUAGCAGUGAAAUGCGUAGAGAUGCGGAGGAACACCGAUGGCGAAGGCAGCCCCCUGGGCUGACACUGACGCUCAGGCACGAAAGCGUGGGGAGCAAACAGGAUUAGAUACCCUGGUAGUCCACGCCCUAAACGAUGAUCACUGGGUGUUCGGGGAGCGAUCUCUGAGUACCGUAGCUAACGCGUGAAGUGAUCCGCCUGGGGAGUACGGUCGCAAGAUUAAA
rnacentral:rRNA from 1 species